CUCUAAUGAGACUGCCGGGUGACAAACCGGAGGAAGGUGGGAUGACGUCAAGUCCUCAUGGCCCUUAUAGGUGGGGCUACACACGUCAUACAAUGGCUGGUACAAAGGGUUGCCAACCCGCAGGGGGAGCCAAUCCCAUAAAGCCAGUCGUAGUCCGGAUCGCAGUCUGCAACUCGACUGCGUGAAGUCGGAAUCGCUAGUAAUCGUGGAUCAGCAUGUCACGGUGAAUACGUUCCCGGGUCUU
rnacentral:rRNA from 1 species